UACGUAGGGUGCAAGCGUUAAUCGGAAUUACUGGGCGUAAAGCGUGCGCAGGCGGUUUUGUAAGUCUGACGUGAAAUCCCCCGGGCUUAACCUGGGAAUUGCGUUGGAGACUGCAAGGCUGGAGUCUGGCAGAGGGGGGGUAGAAUUCCACGUGUAGCAGUGAAAUGCGUAGAGAUCGUAAGGAAGACCAGUGGCGAAGGCGGGUCUCUGGACAGUUCCUGACACUGAGGCACGAAGGCCAGGGGAGCAAACGGG
rnacentral:rRNA from 1 species